GUGAGCUCCAGGUGCUUCUCCACCAGCACAGGUGAGCUCCUAAAUCCCAAAUACCUGCACCUACGAACUCCAAACCUUCACCAAACCCAUCCAGGUGACCUCCCCCACCUGCCCAGGUGUGUCCCAGGUGCGCUCACCUGUAGAUGUGCACGUCGCGGGUCUGCCCCAUGUGGUGGCACCUGCCCAGAUACCCAAAUACCUGCACAGGUGAGCUCUUAAAUCCCCAAUACCUGCUCAGGUGAGUCCAGAACUCCCCAACACCUGCACAGGUGAGCUCCAAAAUCCCACAGAACCACACAGGUACCCCAAUACCUGCACAGGUGAGCUCCAGGUAUCACAGGUGAGGUCCUAAAUCCCACACAACCACACAGGUACCCAAAUACCUGCACAGGUGAGCUCCAGGUGCUACAGGUGAGCUCCUAAAUCCCCAAUACCUGCACAGGUGAGCUCCUAGUUCACAAAUACCUGCACAGGAGAGCUCCUAAACCCCACACAGCCACACAGGUACCCAAAUACCUGCACAGGUGAGCUCCAGGUGCUACAGGUGAGCUCCUAAAUCCCAAAUACCUGCACCUAUGAACCCCAAACCUUCACCAAACCCCUCAGGUGACCCCAGGUGUGUCCCAGGUGUCCCCCAGGUGUGUCCCAGCUGUGUCUCACCUGUAGAUGCGCACGUCGCGGGUCUGCCCGAUGCGGUGGCACCUGCCCAGGUACCCAAACACCUGCACAGGUGAGCUCCUAAAUCCCACAGAACCACACAGGUACCCAAAUACCUGCACAGGUGAGCUCCAG
rnacentral:lncRNA from 1 species